CCUACGGGGGGCAGCAGUGAGGAAUAUUGGUCAAUGGGCGAGAGCCUGAACCAACCAAGUCGCGUGAAGGAUGAAGGAUCUAUGGUUUGUAAACUUCUUUUAUAAAGGAAUAAAGUGAGGCACGUGUGCCUUUUUGUAUGUACUUUAUGAAUAAGGAUCGGCUAACUCCGUGCCAGCAGCCGCGGUAAUACGGAGGAUCCGAGCGUUAUCCGGAUUUAUUGGGUUUAAAGGGAGCGUAGAUGGGUUGUUAAGUCAGUUGUGAAAGUUUGCGGCUCAACCGUAAAAUUGCAAUUGAUACUGGCAGCCUUGAGUACAGUUGAGGUAGGCGGAAUUCGUGGUGUAGCGGUGAAAUGCUUAGAUAUCACGAAGAACUCCGAUUGCGAAGGCAGCUUACUAAACUGCCACUGACAUUGAUGCUCGAAAGUGUGGGUAUCAAACAGGAUUAGAUACCCCUGUAGUC
rnacentral:rRNA from 1 species